rnacentral:rRNA from 1 species
UACGGGGGGAGCAAGCGUUGUUCGGAAUUACUGGGCGUAAAGGGCGCGUAGGCGGCGACCCAAGUCAGAUGUGAAAGUCCUGGGCUUAACCUGGGGACUGCAUUCGAUACUGCCGUGCUUGAGGACUGGAGAGGAGACUGGAAUUUACGGUGUAGCGGUGAAAUGCGUAGAUAUCGUAAGGAAGACCAGUGGCGAAGGCGGGUCUCUGGACAGUUCCUGACGCUGAGGCACGAAGGUCAGGGGAGCAAACGGG